CAUCACCCGCUUCCUGCUCCCGAUCCUCUCUAGCUCCGCUACCUCCUUCCUCCUCUCGCUCCCUACCACCUCCUCAUCCAUCGUAAUCACCACCUGGUCUGCUGACGCCGUGGUCCCCUCCAUCGCUGGUGCCACAUCAGACCUCUAGCCACCUUCCUCCACUCCCUCCUCUCCCUCCCCCUCAGAUGAUGAGAAGCCGCUACACCCACACCGCCAUCGAGUGCGCCACCUCUGCU
rnacentral:lncRNA from 1 species